CACGGGGGGAGCAAGCGUUGUUCGGAAUCACUGGGCGUAAAGGGUGUCUAGGCGGUCAGGUAAGUGAGAUGUGAAAUGCCCCGGCUUACCCGGGGACCGGCAUCUCAUACUGUCUGGCUUGAGUAUGGGAGAGGAUGAGGGAAUUCCUGGUGUAGCGGUGAAAUGCGUAGAUAUCAGGAGGAACACCGGUGGCGAAGGCGGUUCUCUGGGACGGUACUGACGCUGAGACGCGAAAGCGUGGGGAGCGAACAGG
rnacentral:rRNA from 1 species